rnacentral:piRNA from 1 species
UUCCACUUGACCAUGCUCCAAGCACCUGGG